rnacentral:rRNA from 1 species
AAGAAACCAACAGGGAUUGCCCCAGUAGCGGCGAGUGAAGCGGCAAGAGCUCAGAUUUGAAAUCGUGUUUCGGCACGAGUUGUAGAGUGUAGGCGGGAGUCUCUGUGGAGCGCGGUGUCCAAGUCCCUUGGAACAGGGUGCCUGAGAGGGUGAGAGCCCCGUAGGGUGCUGCGCGAAGCUUUUGAGGCCCUGCUGACGAGUCGAGUUGUUUGGGAAUGCAGCUCCAAGCGGGUGGUAAACUCCAUCUAAGGCUAAAUAUUGGCGAGAGACCGAUAGCGAACAAGUACUGUGAAGGAAAGAUGAAAAGCACUUUGAAAAGAGAGUGAAACAGCACGUGAAAUUGUUGAAAGGGAAGGGUAUUGGGCUCGACAUGGGGGGUGCGCACCGCUGUCUCUUGUAGGCGGCGCUCUGGGCGCCCUCUGGGCCAGCAUCGGUUCCUGCUGCGGGAGAAGGGGCUCCGGAAAGUGGCUCUUCGGAGUGUUAUAGCCGGGGCCAGAUGCCGCGUGUGGGGACCGAGGACUGCGGCUUCUGUCUCGGAUGCUGGCAUAACGGCGCAAUACCGCCCGUCUUGAAACACGGACC